rnacentral:rRNA from 1 species
AACGAACGCUGGCGGCGUGCCUAACACAUGCAAGUCGAGCGCGAAUGGGAGCAAUCCCUAGUAGAGCGGCGCACGGGUGCGUAACACGUGGGUAAUCUGCCUGGAAGACCGGGACAACCUUCCGAAAGGAAAGCUAAUACCGGAUAAGCCUACGGGAUCCUCGGAUCCUGAAGGAAAGGUGGCCUCUGUAUACAAGCUAUCACUUCCAGAUGAGCCCGCGGCCCAUCAGCUAGUUGGCGGGGUAACGGCCCACCAAGGCAACGACGGGUAGCUGGUCUGAGAGGACGAUCAGCCACACUGGAACUGAGACACGGUCCAGACUCCUACGGGUGGCAG